CCACCCACACACAGAGUGACUGAGCGAGUGAGUGAGAGAGAAAGGAAUUAAAGAAGACAAAGGAAAGCCGGCAAAGCGGCGAGCAACGAAAGAAGAGAAGCGAGAAGGAGAUAAGAAUGUUUUACCAAUCCAACAAGCCUUCAGGAUCUAUGUCGCAGACACCCACACACGACGCACUCCACAUCCAACAUCUGGAUGCCCAUUGGUGUGUCGCCCUGUGUCUUCCUCUCCGAGAUCACUGAUCACCAGCUGCACCACCCCGGCCAUCAUGCCGCCCUGCUCCGCCCUUCCAUUCCCGGCCACCUCCCGUGCCCCGCUUUUCCACGGCCUCGGCUUCAUAUAGCAAGGAGCCAGAGCUCCAGCUGAUGCUCAAAGGGCUCCCGGCUUGCGCCUCUGCUUCGCACAAGGACGGCGUGCCAUUGCUCGCGUCGUCUUCCUCAUCCGCCCGCGAGAGCUCUAGGGCCUGAGGCGGUGUUGCGGGAGAGAGAAGCAGCAAGGAGAGAGGGAGCGCGCGCUCUCUAUAUGGGAGCAAGGCCGGGCAGGUCGCCGGGGGAUUUGGUGAGCUGCGGCGGGCCGCGACGACUCCUAACCUUCGUCCUCUUGCUCUGCGCUUGCCUUCUGAUGGCCAUGGCGGCGACAGAAGGCGCGAGCUUCGGGUCGAACAAUGCGGCGGCGGGCUCGCCGGCUCAGCGUCCCGGCGGUGCGGACGCGUUCCGGAGCAGCAAGAGGAGGAUCCCCAAGGGGCCCGACCCUAUUCACAACAGGCGUGCCGGGAAGACGACGAUCGAGCCGCGGCGGAGGGGCUAGCCGGCCGGGGUGGAAGGAUCAGCCGCUGCUCAUCUUCUUGGUUCCGUCGAGUGGUUUGGAUGGAAGGAGUCAUCUAUGUAGCAUGCAGCAGCGGACUAGCAGGCUACCGCAUCAGUCUAUCUAGCCGUGCUGGAGAUGAGUUUUGUGCAGUGCAGAGAGGUUACUAGCACCCUCCUUCGAUGGGGAUUUUGGUUUGUGGGGGUAUGUAUAAAGCUGCAGUCUCCCCUUGCAAGUUUAUUUUUUCUUUUUUUGUUUUCACCAAUUCAAGCUGGUGAGUGAGAUGAUUGAUGAUCGACCAACCUUCUGCAUAAUUCUUCAGAGAUUUGAUUUGAAUCUGAAGUCAUUCUAUUUCCUUUUCCUGUAACCUUUGUUUUGCUUGCGUGUAAGAAAUUCAGAAAACCAAGAGCUAGCUGCCGAAUUGACCAGCAUAUCCA